GACGGGUGGGCGGGACCGGGUAUGAGAGUCCGGAGGACCGAGACACGGCUAAGAGCCCCAGCGGGCGUGGUCGGUUGGUGCGCGGCCGAGAGGCGUGGCACGGGAGCGCCGUUGGUUGGUGCGUGGCCGAUGGGCGUGGCGCGGGGGCGCCGUUGGUUGGCCGGCGGCGGGCGGGGGCGGGCCAUGGCCCUGUUGCUCUGCCUGGGCAUGACUGCGGCGCUGGCCCGCGGCUGCCUGCACUGCCACAGCAACUUCUCUGAGAAAUUCUCCUUCUACCGCCACCACGUGAACCUCAAGUCCUGGUGGGUGGGCGACAUCCCCGUGUCGGGGGCGCUGCUCACCGACUGGAGCCAGGACACGAUGAAGGAACUGCACCUGGCCAUCCCGGCGGAGAUCACCCGGGAGAAGCUGGACCAAGUGGCGGCACUUGUGUACCGGAGGAUGGACCAAUUGUACCAGGGAAAGAUGUAUUUCCCGGGGUACUUCCCCAAUGAGCUGCGAACCAUCUUCCGGGAGCAGGUGCAUCUCAUCCAGAACGCCAUCAUCGAAAGCCGCAUCGACUGUCAGCGUCACUGUGGCAUCUUCCAGUAUGAGACAAUCUCCUGCAACAACUGCACAGACUCCCAUGUCGUCUGCUUCGGCUACAAUUGCGAGUCCUCGGUGCAAUGGGAGGCAGCUGUGCAGGGCCUUCUCAAUUACAUAAGUGACUGGCACAAGUAAGUCCCCUCCUCAAACCCAACAUGCCUUACCUGAGGCAGUGUGCGCAUGUGAGCAUCUAGCUGACAGGACAAGAGCAUGAGGUAAGGCCACCCCAGUCUGGCCUUCCAGAGGGGAGGGAGGGGCAGAGGGAGUGAGCGGAGAGGUGCCAUGUGUCCUCCAGUUCAGCGGGCACCGUGGGCAGGGCUCUCUCUGAGCCUGGGACAUGCCAAUGUCACCUCUGCAACCAUGCCUAUGUGGUCAUUUCAUGAACAAACCACUGCUGCUCCUCCUCUGGGCCUGGGACACACAGAUCCACCCCAGCCUUCCUGAUAUCACCGAGCUUCACAUGUCUGGAGCCCCAACACCUGGCCAACCUGACUUUGGAGAUCGCCUCUGAGUGUCUGACCCAACACUGACAGCCAGAAGGCCUGCCCCCAGCACGACGGGGGAUUCCCCUGGACUGUCCCAGCCUAUCCUUCUGGAACAGGCUGGCUGCUGCCUCUGAUCCCCCUCUGACCCCUGAUACAGCCCAAGCCGGCCUGGGCAGGAAGGGGAAGGGAUGGGUUUGUACAUAGCACCGGUACCUGGCAGGACCACAGAGCUAUUUGAUGGGAGGAUUAAAGUGCCCGGACAUUUCCUAUGGAAGCACAGUCCUUACUUUGGGUGGGAGGAGGCACUUGGGGGGGGCUGAAGGAACUGGCAAUGUACUCUGGGGAGGCCUGAAGAUGUGCAAAUGAGCCAGGUAGGCCGGCUGGGGCAGAGACAUCCAUAGGGCCUCAGAGUUCUGGAACCAAGAUAUUUUACUAUGACUCACCUGAGCAUAGCUGGGGGGCUUGCAGAAGUGUACAAAGGGGAUUCUUUAUGAAAGCUGAGGCUGCAGUUUGGUGGCAACCAGAGCCAGCUGCACCCAAGGCAAAGGGACACGAGACCCGUAGGCUCUGCUUCCUCCAUUCUCUGUGGUGGAGACUGUGGCUGGCCCUCCUGGCUGAGCAAUCACUGACACAAGGGGAGCCUUGGGAAAUUGUGCAGAAGGGUGAUUCUGAGUGCCCUUGAGCACCCUUGCUUUGUCCUGUUUUCACUUGUGUGACCUCAGCCUGGGUGGUUUCCUUACUGCUUCAGGAUUCCUCUACCUUCCCUGUGCCUGGCACAAGAGGCAGCUCGGGACCUGGUCCUGUCCCCCAACAACUGUCCUGUGGCCACUGUGUGCAUGGGAAUGCCCAUGUGCAGGUCAGGAAUGGAAUGGGGGGUGAGGGGACCCCAGGACACCCUUAAUAGACUGCAGAUCCUCAGAGCUAAACAUGGGAGCCAGAGCCAACCAUGCCCUGGCUAGUAUCGAUACCAAGAACUUCCUUUUGGGUCCCUCUGAAGGAUGCCAGCAGCUCAGGACAUGGGAAGAGGCUCAUGGCUGGCGUUUCUAGGGCAUGGUGCUGUGGAAGGGAUGCAGGAGUGGGCCCUGAGCCAGGGCUGGGUCCAGGGCCUUGUUUGGGUCAGCAUACCUCACCUUCCCACUUGGGGUUUACUUCUAAGAUGAAUGUCCCCAAUCUACAUGGCAUAGUGGAGAAGCAAGGCAAAGUGACACAGGCAGGGCCAGUUGCUUUCCUGCCUCUGACCUCCACAGCACCUGAGCA